UAGAGUUUGAUCAUGGCUCAGGAUGAACGCUGGCGGCGUGCUUAACACAUGCAAGUCGAGCGAGAAGGUAAUGACUGAUUCUUCGGAUGAAGGAUUUGCUGGAAAGCGGCGGACGGGUGAGUAACGCGUAGGUAACCUACCUUACACAAAGGGAUAGCCACUGGAAACGGUGAUUAAUACCAUAUGAAGCUUUGGAAUCGCAUGAUUCUGAAGUUAAAGUGUUAGCGGUGUAAGAUGGACCUGCGUCUGAUUAGCUAGUUGGUGAGGUAAUGGCUCACCAAGGCGACGAUCAGUAGCCGGCCUGAGAGGGUGAACGGCCACACUGGAACUGAGACACGGUCCAGACUCCUACGGGAGGCAGCAGUGGGGAAUAUUGCACAAUGGGCGAAAGCCUGAUGCAGCAACGCCGUGUGAGCGAUGAAGGCCUUCGGGUCGUAAAGCUCUGUCUUGAAGGAAGAAAAAAAUGACGGUACUUCGAGAGGAAGCCCCGGCUAACUACGUGCCAGCAGCCGCGGUAAUACGUAGGGGGCAAGCGUUAUCCGGAAUCACUGGGCGUAAAGGGUGCGUAGGCGGCUAUUCAAGCCAGAAGUGAAAGGCAGUGGCUCAACCAUUGUAAGCUUUUGGAACUGUUUAGCUUGAGUGCA
rnacentral:rRNA from 1 species